GGGUCAGUAGGUUGGUCGUGCCACCGGUACGUACUGGUCUCACUGAUUCCUCCUUCCUGAAGAGCCAUAAUGCCAUUAAUUUGGUGUUGCGGGGAAACAGGACUGUUACUUUGAAAAAAUUAGAGUGUUUAAAGCAAGCUAACGCUUGAAUACAUUAGCAUGGAAUAAUGAAAUAGGACGAUCGAUCCUAUUUUGUUGGUUUCUAGGAUUGACGUA
rnacentral:rRNA from 1 species